rnacentral:lncRNA from 1 species
CAAACACUGACUGAGACAUUUCCUAUUGGGAAAAGCAAAACCCUUGGGAAGUACCAUGCAUAUUCCUCACAUAAUGCUGUAAUAAGGCAAUUGUAUUGAAAUUAAAAAAAGAGAUUGAGAGAUUUAUCUCCCCUUUCAGUCACACGGUAUCAUGGAGCUGUCCGGGAGCCUCUAAGCAAAGCAAUCCCACGUCUGCAAAAUCAGCCAGCUCAGAAAGUCAGGCUGAUUGGCUAACGAUGGCUUGAUACCUUCCACCAAAGCAGGUUACACACAACGCCUGCCUCUGUGAUGCCGUGCCUGCCUCUCAUCCUGCUUGGUGUACAGCCCCGGGCCAGCCCUUUCCAGGAGAUGCUCCAAAACACCACAGGUAGAAUGAUCAGCAUUUCUGGAUCAAUGCCCUUACCCAGCUCUAAGCUGCUUCUGUGGAUUUCCAUGGGAGAGCUCCUGACUUCACAUGGAGCACCACUGCAGGCAGCGUGCAUUGUAAACACAAGGGGGUGGUAAUUACACCCAUUUCUUUGCUGCACAUCUGUGCAGAACUUUCCACUGCCUUUGUCCCAAGAGCUACAAUAUGUCUUAAAAUCAAUAAAGUCG